CUGCAAACGAGGAGAUGAGAUGAGAUGAGACGAGAUGAGAUGAGACGAGAUGAGAUGAGACAAAGCGCUGCCGCCUGCACUUCCCUUCGCUUCCCUGCCCUUCCCACGCCGAGGGUUUCGGUGGCUCAUCGCAGGGAGCAGCUCUGAUCCACCCGGACGGGGCUGCGAGGCUCUGCCAGCCGCCCACACCGACCACCCCACACACUGCCCACAGCCCCGGGGCUCCCAGGGGUUGGCACCUGGAGGGACAGGAGGGGAGAGGAAAGCACAAGCCUUCCGUCCUCCUUCCCGAGAUGGGGGUCGUGUGUCUUCCCGAUUUGGGAUCAUCAGAGCCGCCCCAACACGCAGAAGAGCCCCCAGGACACCUCAUUUCCUCUCCUGCACUUCUCAAGCUUGGCCUGUUCUUCCACGGGCGGCAUUUUCAGCUUUCGCAGCACUGAAGCAGACGGGUUUGUCUGGUCUGAGGGCGGCUGAAGGGAUACAAAGGAGCUGUGGCUGCUGCAGCUGCGCUUGGCUCCAUCCCUCCACAUUUGCCCUGCUUUUAUUCUUGUCCUUUCCAGGUGAGCUGUUCUGGCACCAAACCCCUCUCAGGGACACCGAAAUGGUUUCACAUGACUUAAAGAGGCCUUUCGUUGGACCAGGAUCUGCUGCUUCCAUUGUUCCAGUGGAGCCCACGGCCAUCGGGAGCUGCUGCCGGGGACCGGCCCAGCUGCUGGUGUGAGGCAGGGCCGGACACGGGAGCCCUGGGAGUGCUCGAGGCUGCUCCUUUCUCCUCACUCCUCUCUCCGAGUCAGCACCACUUAACGUGACGGGAGCAAAUUGGUGCUAAUGAAGUGCCGGAGUCAGGCAGCAGCCGGCAGGGCCCGGAGGGAUGGCAGUGCGGAGGGGAUGAGCUCAGGGUAUUCCAGGAUUCUGCCAUUCUGUGAGGACGAGGUAAUGCUGGACAAGGAGCCUUGUCCGGGGUGGCGUCCCUGUGACACUCAUGGCAUUGCCUGCCCUCUGUCCUCGUCCCUUCAUGCAGGAAAGCAGCAGCAAGGAUCUCCCUUCGGCAUCAGGGAUUCCCACCAGCCUGUCCCUGCCUCCAGCUGCUCCUGGACCUGAGGGUCUGAGCAGCUGGACAAUGAACAAACUCAGCGUCAAUGACACAUCUUUCAUCGGAGCCUGUGUUGGUCCUGAGCUGGUCUCAGCAGAGAUGGUGUCCAGGAGGGCCCAGAGCCAUCAUCAGCCACAGAAUGUGUGCUGGAGAGAGGGAAAAGCAGUGGGGGAAAAAACCCAAGAGUUUUCUGCAUUUCCUGAUUA